GACGAACCGAGCGAACGUUGUUCGGAAUCACUGGGCUUAAAGGGCGCGUAGGCGGGUGCUCAAGUCUGUGGUGAAAUCCUCCGGCUCAACCGGAGAACUGCCAUGGAUACUGGGUGUCUCGAGGGUGGUAGGGGUAUGCGGAACUAUCGGUGGAGCGGUGAAAUGCGUUGAUAUCGAUAGGAACUCCGGUGGCGAAGGCGGCAUACUGGACCACUUCUGACGCUGAGGCGCAGAACGAGGCCAGGG
rnacentral:rRNA from 1 species